rnacentral:rRNA from 1 species
UACGGGAGGCAGCAGUGGGGAAUUUUGGACAAUGGGCGAAAGCCUGAUCCAGCAAUGCCGCGUGUGUGAAGAAGGCCUUCGGGUUGUAAAGCACUUUUGUCCGGAAAGAAAUCCUUGGCUCUAAUACAGUCGGGGGAUGACGGUACCGGAAGAAUAAGCACCGGCUAACUACGUGCCAGCAGCCGCGGUAAUACGUAGGGUGCGAGCGUUAAUCGGAAUUACUGGGCGUAAAGCGUGCGCAGGCGGUUUGCUAAGACCGAUGUGAAAUCCCCGGGCUCAACCUGGGAACUGCAUUGGUGACUGGCAGGCUAGAGUAUGGCAGAGGGGGGUAGAAUUCCACGUGUAGCAGUGAAAUGCGUAGAGAUGUGGAGGAAUACCGAUGGCGAAGGCAGCCCCCUGGGCCAAUACUGACGCUCAUGCACGAAAGCGUGGGGAGCAAACAGGAUUAGAUACCCUGGUAGUGCCACGCCNUAGACGAUGUCGAAUAGUUGUAGGGGA